AUACUGCUCUGUCCGUUCGAAAAUAGUUGUUCUAGAAAUGGUUGUAUUUACAUUUAUUUUAGUUAUAAAUACAUCAAUUUUACUCAUUUAUAAGACAAAUAUUUCUGGACGGAAGGAGUACUUG
rnacentral:pre_miRNA from 1 species